UCACAUAAACAGAAUUCUGUGCAGGAUUUUGGUGUGUUGUUUUCUAUGGUACAUACUGCAGUGGACUAGGGAAUAAUAUAAAGACAUGCAAUUACACAUCACAAAGCUAAUCAUAUCUAAGACAUCAUAUAAAAAAGUUAAGAGUUGGUUUUGAGGAAAAAAUGCAAAGGUGUUAAAGUGUCCCUUCUUUCAACAGUAAUUUUUAAAAAAUUAUUAUCUAUUUCUUGAUUUUUCAGGUUUCUAUGGCUAUCCUAUAACUGCAGAUAAAGAAAGCUGGGGACCAUUGCUAGUCCCAAGAUUGGGAUGAGCCAUUCCUGAGCUUGGAGGAAAUUAUCCCUGAAAGUCAGCCAGCUCUCCUGGACCCCAAUUCUAUCUAGGAUGGUCUCAUGUGGAAUUCUUCCAAGCAGUUAUCUGAACAAGCCAAAGCCUGCUCUCCUGAAGAUCAGGGUUAUGACCAUGCUUUCUGCCCUGCUCCCUCACCUCGGGAUCCUGAACUUCACCAUAUCAUGGUCCGAAAGUUGCCCCAGCUUUCACACCGAGAUACCAGGAUGGUUGAAGUCUCCUGCAAGGACCAGGACCUGCGAAUAUGAAACUUCUUCCAGUUGCCUGAGGAAGGUCUUAUCUACUUUUUCCUCCUGAUCAGUUGGUGCAUAGCAGACACCUGAAAUUAUCCACUUUGUUCUGCCUGUUAAUCUUAACCUCAGCUGGCUCAUGGCCCAUCUCUUGGCAGCACUCCAUGCAUUCACCCUGCUGUCCCACAUAAAGGGCAAAGAGCCUUCUUAAAGGCACCAAACAAAAAAGUCAGGAAAAUAAUCAAACUCUGAGGUAAUGGCUUAAGUCCUUGCCGUGUGUUCGGGGCUGCUCAAGGCACACAGACACCCCUCUGGGCUACACUGACUGUGCCGAAUGGAGGUAAAUACACACAUUGCCAACACAUCAGUUUACUCUCAGCAGCACAGAGAUGCUCUGUGCCCCUAAAAACAAAUGCUAGCAGACAAAGGCAAAUGGUCUGUUGUAGCUAGAAGACUGAUUGGUGGCAAAAUAGAUACAUAGGAGAAAAAUCCUUAUUUUCAA